GUCAGGCGAACGCCGAAUCCUGCCGCGCCUGACACCACCCAUCGACGAACUCAUUCGUACGGCAGGAGCGGGGGACCCAGGUAAGUCGCCGGACCGGACGGCACACGUCGCAGACGCACAUGUGUCACCGGAACGGCUAGGGGUGAAGUCGUGCCGCCUCGGCGGCGCGGCCGGGCACUCCCCAGCCCGAACCCGACAGCUCACCUCGCAGGCGACGGAGAGGAACUUC
rnacentral:sRNA from 1 species